rnacentral:rRNA from 1 species
GAACGCUGGCGGCGUGCUUAACACAUGCAAGUCGAGCGGUAAGGCCCUUCGGGGUACACGAGCGGCGAACGGGUGAGUAACACGUGGGUGAUCUGCCUUGCACUCUGGGAUAAGCCUGGGAAACUGGGUCUAAUACCGGAUAUGAGCCUGGACUGCAUGGUCUGGGUUGGAAAGGUUUAUUGGUGCGAGAUGGGCCCGCGGCCUAUCAGCUUGUUGGUGAGGUAACGGCUCACCAAGGCGACGACGGGUAGCCGACCUGAGAGGGUGACCGGCCACACUGGGACUGAGACACGGCCCAGACUCCUACGGGAGGCAGCAGUGGGGAAUAUUGCACAAUGGGCGCAAGCCUGAUGCAGCGACGCCGCGUGAGGGAUGACGGCCUUCGGGUUGUAAACCUCUUUUGACAGGGACGAAGCGCAAGUGACGGUACCUGUAGAAGAAGCACCGGCCAACUACGUGCCAGCAGCCGCGGUAAUACGUAGGGUGCGAGCGUUGUCCGGAAUUACUGGGCGUAAAGAGCUUGUAGGCGG